GAGCGCAGGUCUUUCUUCCCACAGACCCAUGGCUCUGCCACAGGUUCUCUUCAUGAGCGUGGGUGUUACAGCUCAACACGGGGAGACUCGUAGCUCCUGAGAGAUGGCAGAUGGCAAGUUUCCUCCUCACGCCUCUCGUUCUUCUUCUCUCUUCCUCUGAAGGCGCCAGAGUUCAAGAGGUUGCUGUAGAGCUCCACUCGGACCAGUCUUCUGCACUGAGAGACCGGCCGGCUGAGGGAUACCUCAGGGUUUCUGACCGGGACAUUUAUGUCUGAGAGAAAUUUCUCCUCCGUCCUCUCUUUCAAGUAGACGUGACGGAGGUACAUCGUGAGUAUUCCACCACAGCUGAGACUGAUUUUACAUGGAGAAAUUCCUCCUGAACUCCGUCGGUACGUUGUGCAUUGGGCAUGGUUUUUAGAGAACACUUUGUGUCUCAUUUUCCCCUCCAGGUACUCUGUUGGAAAGCUGGGAUGGGUUAAAUCAGGGUGAUUAGCCAGAUGUUAUUUUAAAUGCUUUGAAGGUAAGGCAACAAGUAACACAUACUGAAUAAGCCAAAGUGCUUAAUUUUGUUUUCUAUGAAAUAGUUUAUUGUUUACUAUGGAGGGGCUACAAAUACAGAUCUGAUAUGAACACAAUGUCCUAAACUGUGUAACAUUGGUGAGAAUGGUGAGGAAGAACUCAGAAGCUAGAGACCAGGGCACAUGGCAUUUACAUUUGCUCAUCUCCACCAUACAUCUUAAAACAUCAAAGGCACUUAUCAAAAUGGGUAAAUAAGAGUGUGGAAUUU